GUAGGUGGCAAGCGUUGUCCGGAAUUAUUGGGCGUAAAGCGCGCGCAGGCGGUUCUUUAAGUCUGAUGUGAAAGCCCACGGGCUCAACCGUGGAGGGUCAUUGGAAACUGGAGAACUUGAGUACAGAAGAGGAAAGCGGAAUUCCACGUGUAGCGGUGAAAUGCGUAGAGAUGUGGAGGAACACCAGUGGCGAAGGCGGCUUUCUGGUCUGUAACUGACGCUGAGGCGCGAAAGCGUGGGGAGCAAACAGGAUUAGAUACCCUGGUAGUCCACGCCGUAAACGAUGAGUGCUAAGUGUUAGGGGGUUUCCGCCCCUUAAUGCUGCAGCUAACGCAUUAAGCACUCCGCCUGGGGAGUACGGCCGCAAAGGCUG
rnacentral:rRNA from 1 species